UGGGGAAUAUUGCACAAUGGGCGGAAGCCUGAUGCAGCGACGCCGCGUGGGGGAUGAAGGCCUUCGGGUUGUAAACCCCUUUCGACAGGGACGAAGCGUAAGUGACGGUACCUGUAUAAGAAGCACCGGCUAACUACGUGCCAGCAGCCGCGGUAAUACGUAGGGUGCGAGCGUUGUCCGGAAUUACUGGGCGUAAAGAGCUCGUAGGUGGUUUGUCGCGUCGUCUGUGAAAUUCCGGGGCUUAACUCCGGGCGUGCAGGCGAUACGGGCUGACUUGAGUGCUGUAGGGGAGACUGGAAUUCCUGGUGUAGCGGUGAAAUGCGCAGAUAUCAGGAGGAAUGCCGAUGGCGAAGGCAGGUCUCUGGGCAGUAACUGACGCUGAGGAGCGAAAGCAUGGGUAGCGAACAGGAUUAGAUACCCUGGUAGUCCAUGCCGUAAACGGUGGGCGCUAGGUGUAGGGGGCUUCCACGUCUUCUGUGCCGUAGCUAACGCAUUAAGCGCCCCGCCUGGGGAGUACGGCCGCAAGGCUA
rnacentral:rRNA from 1 species